rnacentral:lncRNA from 1 species
CCUAGGACAGAUAUUAAUUAUGGUGCUCUGGCCAUGGCAUGUCACUGUAGAUAGUAAAGUGGUCUGAGGCUAUAUGUACUACAUGUAUUGGCCGUUAACAGCCUGGUUGUUUUUAAUGUUGCUUUGGAAGUUAAUGGGAAAACAUUUGAUUUUGUGCAACAUGUAAAGCUUGGAGAAUGACUGAUGGUGACUGGGGAGGUGUAUCUUUGCACAUACAGCAGAAUCAGAAGCCUUCACAUCCAAUGUUGUGUUUCAACAAGUCGGUCUGAUGUUGGCAGUGUGUGCACCCUCCUUUCACCUUGAUAUCCUCUACCACCUUGAACAAGUUGUGGUACUUGAACAUGCUCAACCUUCAAGAAAUAGAAGCAUUGGUGUUAUUUCAAAUGACAUCACGACUGCCUUAGAUUAAAACUUGAAGGAGGUGACAUUCCCCAGAAAAGUUGUUCACCAUCCCAUCCCAUGUUGGGUUGCCCCCCAGUCCAGAUCAACAGUUUGUUGAGGAAAAGCUUGGAAUUCAGUUGAUGCCUAUUCUUGCUGUGAAGAGGAGCAAUCUGAACUGAAGGGGAGAACAGACUCCAAACAAGAGUAGAUGUGAUGACACCAAGAAAGAGCAGCCACAUAUUACCUCAAGAGGUUAACCGGAAUGCAAAUCAACAGAAUAUGAUGCUGACCAAGUACCAGGAAGAGGUGUCCCCAUCACUGUAGAUGACAAGUGAUGACAGUUAUCUUGAUGGACUACAGGAAUGAUUCAAGUGCAUUCAUUAUGCAGUUUACUGAUUUGUUUGAUGUAUUUUGAUAAUUGUUCUGGCAUUCUGAUGUCAGCUGAGUAACACCUCCAUAAUGGAGACAAAUUAAGGAACUUCUGUUUUGAAGCAGUAAAAUAGUCUCAACAAGAAUUUUUAUUUAUUUUGCCAGCAGAACAGAAGUUUCCAUUAAUUUUCCCACACAAACAUUUUGUGCUUUUCUGUUCCCCAUUUGUGCUUAUUGUCCUGCUGAACAAUUGGACCACCUUUUCAGUGACAUUUUUUUUUACACUGCAUGACAAUGUGAUUUAUAAGUAUGAUUUGAUAUAGUUUGAUGGUUUGAUAUUAGUAUAUGUGGCAUGUAGUAAACAAUGGAAUAGUAAAGUUAUGCCAUA